CAGUGAGGUCAUCCCCACCACUAAGUCAAGCCCGUGGCCAAAACACAUUGGCAGCAGCUGAAAAGGUGAAAGACUGGUUUCUGAUGGGAGAUUUAAACAUCAGGCUUCAGUAAAAAUGGAACCAGGAAGCUUUGAGCAUCUAUACCCACUGCUCACACAGGGAAACAGACAAGGAUUUAAGAGGAUGUGGUUUAUGUGGGAUCCCGAAUAACACUGCUGAGUGGGGAAGAGAAGCAAGGGAGAGGAAGCACCAAGACAACGUGAAUCAUUAAACCAGUCACCACUCUGAACAACCGAGACUUGAUCCACGCUGGGAACUCGGAAUCCAGCAGAGAACAGACCCCAGAGCUAACUCUCUGCAGAUGAAGGGAAUGGAAUAUUGCUCCACUAGUCCCCACCAAUCAUUUUUUUGAAACUAACAUCACCGGUUUUCACUUGCAUCCUUUUUCUGUUCCAGCAUUCAAUUUAAGACCCCAUAUCGCAUUUAGUCAUCAUGUCUCCUUAACCUCUUCUUACCUGUGACAGUUCCUUAGUCUUUCCUUGCUUUUCAUAACCUUGAAAUAUUUGAAG
ensembl:lncRNA